rnacentral:rRNA from 1 species
AAGGAAGCGAUUCCGGCGGGGGAUGGGCAUGCGGCGCAUUAGCUAGUCGGCGGGGUAACGGCCCACCGAGGCGACGAUGCGUAGGGGUUCUGAGAGGAAGGUCCCCCACACUGGUACUGAGACACGGACCAGACUCCUACGGGAGGCAGCAGUGAGGAAUAUUGGUCAAUGGGCGGGAGCCUGAACCAGCCAAGUCGCGUGAGGGAAGACGGUCCUACGGAUUGUAAACCUCUUUUGCCGGGGAGCAACGGGGUCCUUGCGAGGGCCCGAUGAGAGUACCCGGAGAAAAAGCAUCGGCUAACUCCGUGCCAGCAGCCGCGGUAAUACGGAGGAUGCGAGCGUUAUCCGGAUUUAUUGGGUUUAAAGGGUGCGUAGGCAGGCUGUUAAGUCAGCGGUCAAAUGUCGGGGCUCAACCCCGGCCUGCCGUUGAAACUGGCGGCCUCGAGUGGGCGAGAAGUAUGCGGAAUGCGUGGUGUAGCGGUGAAAUGCAUAGAUAUCACGCAGAACUCCGAUUGCGAAGGCAGCAUACCGGCGCCCUACUGACGCUGAGGCACGAAAGCGUGGGUAUCGAACAGGAUUAGAUACCCUGGUAGUCCACGCAGU